GUAGCAAGGCGAAUCCGGAUAGGAGACGCCCAGGGAGGCGGGAAGGGGUGGAAAACUCUUUCAUUGCAUUGAAGGACCUGGCUGGGUCUCUCCCAAAGAAGUCAGGCCUGGAAUCUCAGCGGGUUGCAAGCAGGAGGGACAGAAGCAGAGGCGGAGUACUCGGCAGCCUUCGGUUGGCUAGUUAUUUGACAUUUUUGACAUCUCUGAGGCUUGGCUCCAUUGGCGUUGCCCUGGGAAUAGAUCGAGCAGAGUUGAUACAAAGCCCAGCAGCAGAAGGCAGACCAAAGAGCUCGGCCGGGACCUGCCGGGUUCCUCCCGGGCCUGUGAUUCCAGGAGCUGUCACGGUUACUCAGUUCCACGUCCAUUGGCCCACGGAGGCAUGGACACUCAGGACAUGGCCCAAAUGCUUUCUGCUCCCCUGGCUGAACAGUGAGCUAAUUUAAACCGGUAACGUCCGGGUAAACAGUGGCUUCAACUUGGGGGACAUCUUUUUAUCCAGGGUGUGAGCCAAUGCAGAAAAUAGUGGUCUUUAAGAAAUUGUUUUUAUAAAUGCAAUGUCCAUUUGUUCUGAGUACAAUCAUUUGAGAGUUUUUCUCCUUGCUUGAAGCUUGGAUCGGAACAAUGUAAUCCGUACUACACGUUGGUUCUCUUGAGUGACCUAAAAUAACUGCUAACAUGAGUAAAUA
ensembl:lncRNA